UACGGAGGGUGCAAGCGUUAUCCGGAUUUACUGGGUUUAAAGGGUGUGUAGGCGGACUGGUAAGUCAGGGGUGAAAUCCCGAAGCUCAACUUCGGAACUGCCUUUGAUACUAUUAGUCUUGAAUUAUGAUGAGGUUGGCGGAAUAUAACAUGUAGCGGUGAAAUGCAUAGAUAUGUUAUAGAACACCGAUUGCGAAGGCAGCUGACUAAACAUAUAUUGACGCUGAGGCACGAAAGCGUGGGGAUCAAACAGGAUUAGAUACCCUGGUAGUCCACGCCCUAAACUAUGAUUACUCGAUGUACGCGAUACACAGUGUGCAUCCAAGCGAAAGCGAUAAGUAAUCCACCUGGGAAGUACGUUCGCAAGAAUGAA
rnacentral:rRNA from 1 species